rnacentral:rRNA from 1 species
AGUGAACGCUGGCGGUAGACCUAACACAUGCAAGUCGAACGGCAGCACAGUAAGAGCUUGCUCUUACGGGUGGCGAGUGGCGGACGGGUGAGGAAUACAUCGGAAUCUACUUUUUCGUGGGGGAUAACGUAGGGAAACUUACGCUAAUACCGCAUACGACCUACGGGUGAAAGCAGGGGAUCUUCGGACCUUGCGCGAUUGAAUGAGCCGAUGUCGGAUUAGCUAGUUGGCGGGGUAAAGGCCCACCAAGGCGCCGAUCCGUAGCUGGUCUGAGAGGAUGAUCAGCCACACUGGAACUGAGACACGGUCCAGACUCCUACGGGAGGCAGCAGUGGGGAAUAUUGGACAAUGGGCGCAAGCCUGAUCCAGCCAUACCGCGUGGGUGAAGAAGGCCUUCGGGUUGUAAAGCCCUUUUGUUGGGAAAGAAAAGCAGCAGGUUAAUACCCCGCUGUUCUGACGGUACCCAAAGAAUAAGCACCGGCUAACUUCGUG